AGUACUGAGCCACUAAAUGCAAGCUGUUGUCAGCAAUUGAUAGCUCUGUAAAGCAAAGCAAUUGUAAUUGUAAAGCAUGGAAUUGAGUACAUUUUUUUACACUGCUCUCCUCUUCCAAUGAGUAUGCCGCAAAGUUCCCCGAUUGGAUUAAGGUCCGGACUAAUUGCUGGCCUCCUCAAUAAGGCGAGAUUUUUCAAUGCGUGAAAUGACAUCGUAGACCUAGAAAAUCUGCAAUAUCAAAUACUCUCUAUGAAACGAUUUACAAAUGGUAUAAGUUCGCUUUCAUAGAGAUUCGUAUAAAUCUGCAAAUCUUUCCAUCUUGCUCGUUACACCUGGUACAGCAGUAGGCCUCCCUGACGGCAAUAAACUUCUGCUUCGCUUAAAUUAUCCUGUCUCGUAAAUUUCACAACUUUGGGAACAAAAAAAAAAAAAAUAUCACACUGAGCCAAAUCUGGAGAAUAUGGUGGAUAUGGCAGCAAUUCGUAGCCUACUUCAACCAGUUUGGCCAUGGCGACGACGGAGGUGUGAACCAGUACGCUGGCAUUAUUGAACGUAUUCCUCGUGACAGCUGAGCCUAUCGAACAGAAAAUAAUCACAAUUCGGUCUUUUAUGAUUUCUUUAUACUCGGCUAUACUAUAAAUUAUGACAAUCAAAGACCACGCCCCAAAUCGCCGUUAUUCGUGAAGUUAUAUAUAAAAUUUGCUAAAGAGAAUCACAGCUGGAAAAGGUAUUAACAGUUUUUAAAGAAUGGGCCCCUCUAUAAAUCUCACAUCUCAGCAAAAACACGGGAAACCAAAUACGGUUCUUAACAUCAUCUUGCCUACUCAUAUCUCCCAUAUAACAUAAUAUAACUUUAUAAAAUAUAAAUCAAGUAGCAGUAAAAAUAUCGGCAGAAAAUAAAAUCGUGUGCUUUUAUUUCUAAUAUGAGUCAACUCUCAACUGAAAUUGGUUGAAAUCUAACUAGACUAGUCUCAGAUACCUUAUCUGAGGCCCUCAGUAUAUAGGCCUGAUUUUACAAAAUAUCUGUAAGAUAUGUAAUGAAAUUAAGAGUACAUUUUUACCCAAAAAUAUUGUGAUCUGUUGUCUAAAAUAUAUAAAAUCGGUUCAGUACUUAACCUAGCCCCCAUACGCCUGA